rnacentral:rRNA from 1 species
UACGGAGGGGGCUAGCGUUGUUCGGAAUUACUGGGCGUAAAGCGCACGUAGGCGGCUUUGUAAGUUAGAGGUGAAAGCCCGGAGCUCAACUCCGGAAUUGCCUUUAAGACUGCAUCGCUUGAAUCAUGGAGAGGUGAGUGGAAUUCCCAGUGUAGAGGUGAAAUUCGUAGAUAUUGGGAAGAACACCGGUGGCGAAAGGCGGCAUCCUGGACCGGUAUUGACGCUGAGGCGCGAAAAGCCAGGGGGAGCAAACGGGG